rnacentral:tRNA from 1 species
UGAAAGAGUAGAAUCGUAGUAGGGCUGCUAACUUUAUUAUAAAUGAGUCAAUCAUUUUCUUUCAU